CAAAUCUGUCAUGACUUGAGGUUUGUCAGUAUACGAAGAGUUAUGAGUCUUCCAAUUGAAUAGAUCAGUUGUGGUGAAGGGGACAUAGACAACCACUGGAUCUGCCCGUUGUAUUUGGCCAUUUUCAUCAACGUGUGUUGGGCCCGGUGUAAGUCGGAGAGGCAUCUGGCAAUGUCGGGAUGGAAGGGUGCCAGUCAAUUGUCGGGUUAGCAUGGGGCUUCGGCAAG